AAAUCUCUACAACAAAUAUCUCAGCUCUUGUCAUGAUGAAGAACGUAGCGAAAUGCGAUACUUAGUGUGAAUUGUAGAAUCCCAUGAAUCAUCGAGUUUUUGAACACAAUUUGCACCCAAGGCCUUUUUCGAGGGCACUUCUGUCUGGGCAUCA
rfam:Picea glauca, whole genome shotgun sequence.